AUUGAACGCUGGCGGCAGGCCUAACACAUGCAAGUCGAGCGGAUGAAGGGAGCUUGCUCCUGGAUUCAGCGGCGGACGGGUGAGUAAUGCCUAGGAAUCUGCCUGGUAGUGGGGGAUAACGUCCGGAAACGGGCGCUAAUACCGCAUACGUCCUGAGGGAGAAAGUGGGGGAUCUUCGGACCUCACGCUAUCAGAUGAGCCUAGGUCGGAUUAGCUAGUUGGUGUGGUAAAGGCCUACCAAGGCGACGAUCCGUAACUGGUCUGAGAGGAUGAUCAGUCACACUGGAACUGAGACACGGUCCAGACUCCUACGGGAGGCAGCAGUGGGGAAUAUUGGACAAUGGGCGAAAGCCUGAUCCAGCCAUGCCGCGUGUGUGAAGAAGGUCUUCGGAUUGUAAAGCACUUUAAGUUGGGAGGAAGAGCAGUAAGUUAAUACCUUGAUGUUUUGACGUUACCAACAGAAUAAGCACCGGCUAACUUCGUG
rnacentral:rRNA from 1 species